rnacentral:rRNA from 1 species
ACUGGAACUGAGACACGGUCCAGACUCCUACGGGAGGCAGCAGUGAGGAAUCUUCCACAAUGGGCGAAAGCCUGAUGGAGCAACGCCGCGUGAAGGAUGAAGGCCUUCGGGUUGUAAACUUCUUUUAUGAGUGAAGAAUAUGACGGUAACUCAUGAAUAAGCACCGGCUAACUACGUGCCAGCAGCCGCGGUCAUACGUAGGGUGCAAGCAUUAUCCGGAGUGACUGGGCGUAAAGAGUUGCGUAGGCGGUUUAAUAAGUGAAUAGUGAAACCUGGUGGCUCAACCAUACAGACUAUUAUUCAAACUGUUAAACUCGAGAAUGGUAGAGGUAACUGGAAUUUCUAGUGUAGGAGUGAAAUCCGUAGAUAUUAGAAGGAACACCGAUGGCGUAGGCAGGUUACUGGGCCAUUUCUGACGCUAAGGCACGAAAGCGUGGGGAGCGAACCGGAUUAGAUACCCGGGUAGUCCACGCCGUAAACGAUGGAUACUAGCUGUUGGAGGUAUCGACCCCUUCAGUAGCGAAGCUAACGCGUUAAGUAUCCCGCCUGUGGAGUACGGCCGCAAGGCUAAAACAUAAAGGAAUUGACGGGGACCCGCACAAGCGGUGGAUUAUGUUCUUUAAUUCGAUGAUAACCGAAGAACCUUACCAGGGCUUGACAUCCAGGGAAGGUCUGCGAAAGUAGACUGUGCCUUUUGGAACCCUGUGACAGGUGAUGCAUGGCCGUCGUCAGCUCGUGUCGUGAGAUGUUAGGUUAAGUCCUUCAACGAGCGCAACCCUUGUGAAUAGUUGUAUUUUUCUAUUCAGACUGCCCCGGUAACGGGGAGGAAGGAGGGGAUGAUGUCAGGUCAGUAUUUCCCUUACGUCCUGGGCUAGAAACGUAAUACAAUGGCUAGUACAAUGCGCAGCGAAGCCGCGAGGUGAAGCAAAUCGCAUCAAAGCUAGUCCCAGUUCGGAUUGUAGGCUGAAACUCGCCUGCAUGAAGUCGGAAUCGCUAGUAAUCGCAAAUCAGCAAGUUGCGGUGAAUACGUUCCCGGGUCUUGUACACACCGCCCGUCAAACCAAGAUAGUGACCAACACCCGAAGUCCGAUUCGGCGGCCUAAGGUGGGGGGCAUGAAUGGGGUUAAGUCGUAACAAGGUAUCCGUACCGGAAGGUGCGGAUG